rnacentral:rRNA from 1 species
AGUGAACGCUGGCGGUAGGCCUAACACAUGCAAGUCGAACGGCAGCACAGUAAGAGCUUGCUCUUACGGGUGGCGAGUGGCGGACGGGUGAGGAAUACAUCGGAAUCUACUUUUUCGUGGGGGAUAACGUAGGGAAACUUACGCUAAUACCGCAUACGACCUACGGGUGAAAGCAGGGGAUCUUCGGACCUUGCGCGAUUGAAUGAGCCGAUGUCGGAUUAGCUAGUUGGGGGGGUAAAGGCCCACCAAGGCGACGAUCCGUAGCUGGUCUGAGAGGAUGAUCAGCCACACUAGAACUGAGACACGGUCCAGACUCCUACGGGAGGCAGCAGUGGGGAAUAUUGGACAAUGGGCGCAAGCCUGAUCCAGCCAUACCGCGUGGGUGAAGAAGGCCUUCGGGUUGUAAAGCCCUUUUGUUGGGAAAGAAAAGCAGCAGGUUAAUACCCCGCUGUUCUGACGGUACCCAAAGAAUAAGCACCGGCUAACUUCGUG